rnacentral:rRNA from 1 species
UUUUAUUUGAGAGUUUGAUCCUGGCUCAGGAUGAACGCUGGCGGCGUGCCUAACACAUGCAAGUUGAGCGAUUUACUUCGGUAAAGAGCGGCGGACGGGUGAGUAACGCGUGGGUAACCUACCCUGUACACACGGAUAACAUACCGAAAGGUAUGCUAAUACGGGAUAAUAUAUUGGAGAGGCAUCUCUUGAAUAUCAAAGGUGGGCCAGUACAGGAUGGACCCGCGUCUGAUUAGCUAGUUGGUAAGGUAACGGCUUACCAAGGCGACGAUCAGUAGCCGACCUGAGAGGGUGAUCGGCCACAUUGGAACUGAGACACGGUCCAAACUCCUACGGGAGGCAGCAGUGGGGAAUAUUGCACAAUGGGCGAAAGCCUGAUGCAGCAACGCCGCGUGAGUGAUGAAGGCCUUCGGGUCGUAAAACUCUGUCCUCAAGGAAGAUAAUGACGGUACUU